AGAAAAGGUUGAAAAGUACUCCACCCUUUUCGUGUGGUUGAAUUUUUGCUUUAAAAUUAAAUUACAUUCUUAAAGAGUGAGAAUUGUUCUAUAUUUCUGCAACGAAAAAUUAAGUUCAUUGUUAAAGACAACUUUUGCACAAAAUGUGAAAGAUAUAUUUGAUUUCAAAACUCCACCCUUCUUUGGUACGAUGAUAGAAAAUUAAGAUUGAAUCAAACUCCACCCUUUUAGUGUGAUUUAAUUUUUGCUUUAAAAUUAAAUUACAUUCUUAAAGAGUGAGAAUUAUUAGUGUACCCCUCAAACUUCCAUCUCUAUUAUGUUAUAUGCAAGGAAUUCUAACUUUUUUUCUCCAUUUAUGGUCAUGGUUAUCAGAUUGGGAACUGGUCAAGUUGGCUAACUGACCUAUUUGGUAUAGACGAUGAUGACUCACAUGAAGAUGUGAAUGACGAUGAUGACAAUGACGAGGAGGCUGUCACAAACGUCCCAUGCACCGGAGCUGGUACAACAGUCUAUUUGCCACCCUCAACAGCUUCCGUUGAGAGUAUUAUUGGAGGUUGGAAGCCAAUCACAGCUGAGAAGAAGUGGGUCUUCAGUGCUAAGAAAAUCAUACACCAGUGAUGAUGAGCUUGAUGAACUAAAUUCACCCUUGGCCUCAAUCUUCAUCGAUUCUUCCCGGUCUUCGCCAGUUGCAACAAAGCCCAGCUGGGUAUCGAAGAGAAAUGGCAAUCAAACUUCUGUCAGAUUGGGAACAGGUCAAGAUGGCUAACUGACCUAUUUGGUAUAGACGAUGAUGACUCACUUGAAGAUGUGAAUGACGAUGAUGACAAUGAC